AUGCACAUAAUGUAGAUCUGUGUGUGUACAUAUAUAUAUACAUAUAUACACAUACAGAUCUAAUGUGUGUGGG
rnacentral:pre_miRNA from 13 species